GGGUUGUCAGCCAAAAUUUGCUGAGGGGCUUGAGCUUAUUUGUAGCUGAUGGUUGCUUUCUGAAGGCUUUGGGGGAGCACCUUGGGGUGCAUCGCUGCAUCCCGGGACUUCAAGGAUCCCAUCCCGCUCACGGGGCUGGGAUUUACGGCAAGAGCGCGUCCACGAGGGGCUGCGCGGCGUAAGAGCGGAGUCAGGGGAUGCAGCAUCGCUCUGACCGGGCACAGGAACGAGGACACCUCCACAAGCUCCACAUCCACAGCACCGCUGUAAGAGCCAAUCUCCCUGAGGAAAGGGAGCUUCUGGCAUGCUGUGCACAAGUACUCAGGGAUCUGCUAAAGCGAUUAAUAACCAGCCCUGCCCGAGGUGCAUGAGGAGGAUUCCAAUCCGUCUCCAAAAAAGCAAAUCGACCCGGAGUUAUCUUCACAGAGCCAGCCUGGGAGUGCAGGAAGGAUUCCCGCUCCCUCUGCCAGCAGCGUCUGCUCUCCUCCCUGCCGGGAUAAUUGCUCCAUCUACCAGCAGGCUGCUCCUGGCAGUGCUCGGUUGGGACACGGUGUUCCAGGGAUCCAGGCUGCUUCCUUGAGCGCCCGCACAGCCACCAGGUGCUUGCUGCCUGCUGUCUCCUGGGGCUGACCUUUGCAGCAGGGCAGGCAGGGACUGGGAUCAUCCCUGGGGCUUGGAGGCUGCCGGAGGGUUUGCGCAACAGCUCUCGCUCAGAGCCCCUGAUAUUUUAUAGAAUCCUUGAAUCCCAGGCUGGAAGGGACCUCAGGGAUCGUCUGGUCCAAUCUUUCUUGGCAAAAGCACGGUCUAGACGAGAUGGCCCAGCACCACAUCCAGGCAAAUCUUAAGAGUCCAGCAUUGGGGAAACCACCGCUUCCCUGGGGAAAUUAUUCCAAUUGUUGAUUGUUCUCAUUGUGAAAAAUUUUCCUCCUGUUUCCAACUGGAAUCUCCCCAGGAAUAACUUGUACCCAGUGCAGGGUGUGAUUUUUUCCUAAAGGGCUCUUGCACACAAGCUUUUCCUGGAGGGAGGGGGGGGGGGGAAAAUCAUCAGAAUAAAAAGAAAGUAAUUAGAGAAAUAAAAUGGGGUUGCACAUAGGGCUGAGCAUCAGCAAACACAGCAUGUCCUCCAACAGCAGCUCUGUAUCAUCUAUUUUUUUGUGCAGUGAGUGUGAGAGAGAGCAGUGGUUUGGCUCAGCACAGUCAGAAUGAUUCCAGUUGUGCCUGGGACUGGGGCCGUGGUGAGCUCGAGGAGAGCGACCUCACUCAAGCAGUCACUAGCAGAUCAUUUAGGAGUUUUAUUUCUUUAUUGGUGAUUAAUGGCAGUGCUUCAUUUCUAAUGGAAGGAAAUAGGGAGGAAAUGGUUUCUUGCCUUCAUUUGUCAGGGAUUUGUUUAAAAGGGCGCUCGUUCCCUGGAAAUAGGUCAGGGUUGUGUAUUUCCAGGGAUGAGCAGCUGCUGGGGCUGAGGCUGGAUGUCAGAUGUUUGGAUGAUGGAGGACCCAAGGCUUUCCUGUGUGAGGACAUUCCCGUCUCCCAGCCCAUCCCUGCCCAUCCCUGGGCCCUGUGCCAGGGACACCCUGUGUCCUGCUGCUGCUGGAUGGAGCGGGAGGGUUUGAAGCUCCCAGCUGAGGCAGCCUCUGGCUGUGCACAGAAGAUCAGCAGUUAAUGGGGUGGAAAUGGGUUUUCCUGGCGUGUCCCUGCAGCAGGGCCCUGGGAGCUGUGUGCCUCCCUGAGGGGUUUUGGAGCAGGUAGUCACAGAAUCAUAGAUUCCUAGAUUUAUGUGGGUUGGAAAAGCCCUCUGUGAUCACAGAGUCUGACUGCUCCUCCAGCACUGCCAAGGCCACCACUAACCCACGUCUCCAAGUGCCACAGGUCUUUUAAACCCCUCCAGGGCUGGUGACUGCACCAGUGCCUGGGGCAGCCUGUACCAGGGCUGGAGAACCCUUUGGGUGAAGAUGUUUUCCCUAAUUUCCAAUCCAAACCUCCCCUGGCACAACUUGAGGCCGUUUUCUCUUGUCCUGUCCCUGUUCCCUGGGAGCAGAGCCUGACUCCCCUGGGUCAGGGAUUUGUGGGGGUGAGAAGGUCCCCCCUGAGCCUCCUUUUCUCCUUCACCUGCUCCUCAUCAGACUUGUGCUCCAGACCUUCUUGGGCACACAAAUGCAUUGGGCACAGAGCUUUCAAAAGAAAAAAAAUCUUGGUUUUGAGUGGAGUGAAUGUAUUGCCCAAAACUCCCCGUGAGAAACAGGAACCAGGAGGCACCACCGGGCAGAAGAUGCCACUGUCCCAUGUCCUUGCUGCUGCCAGAGCAGAAAAGCUGAGGUGGGGUCAGUGCCACUGGGAUGUCUGCCUUGUGCCGUGAUUUGUGUGUCAGCCACACGGGGGGAUGCACUGGGAAGCUGUAGAAGGGUUUAACGGGGCUCCACCCCUCACUGCUGCCCU